GUCCCAGGAGGGUCAACUGUGUCCUGGGGUGCAUCAGGCACAGCAUCACCAGCUGGUCAAUGGAAGUGAUUGUCCCACUCUGCUCUGCACUGGGGCAGCCUUAUCUCAAAUCCUCUGUGCUGUUUUGGUCACCACAAUAUAAAAAGGACGUUAAGGACCAGACCCUUGCCUAUGUGUUUUAACACUUUGGAGAAAACAGGCCAAACCCUACAAAAAGCAGCACAACUGUCAGGUCUCAUAAGCAGGUGGCUGGAUGAAGCUUCUAUUUUGAGAUUCCAACACAGAGCUGGUGUGAACGCGCUCACUAUCUGUGCUGAGGAAGAAGCAGAAGGAGGUUGGAACCCCCAGCUUUUCUUGGGAAGAAGGAAUUGCUUGGCUUUCUUAGCCCAGAAAAGGGUUGCCAGCUGCAUAUCCAAAACUGGUUCCAUGGUACCACAGAGCAGUUCCUGCCUGCCUUGCUGUGUGCCAAAGCUAAUGAGGUAAGAAUAUGAAGGCAAUCACUUGAUGGAAGGAGGGGCUCAAAAUUUGAGAU